CUUUGUUACUAUUUUAAAAUUUUAAUUGGUAUGAUGAGAAAACUAAAGAAAUAAACUUUAAACUUAUAGAAAUAUAUAAGAAAAAAAAUCUAAAAAAGAAAUAUAUAAAUAAAUAUAUAAUAUUUUAAAAAUAAUAUAAAGAAAAUAUAGAACAUUAAAUUAAAUUUAAAAUCUUUACUUUUAUAAUAUAUUGUUUAUAUAAUAUAAAUUUUCAUAUUAUUAUUUUAUAUUUUAUAUUUACAUUUCAUUGCAAGUAUAUUUUCUAAGUAAUUGUGAAAGUAAUUGCUAAUAUAGAUUGUAGGUUGAAAAGAAAACCAAAAAUAGAACCUACUGUAACAGAACUAAGAAAUGUGUUAUAUAAUGAAUGUUUGAAACUCAUGUUCAGUUUAAUUAUUUUAUGUGUUAAAAUUAUUUACAAUUAAUCUUUUUUAAUAUUAUAAAAUUACAAAUAUAAUAUAAUAUAAUAUUUAGAUUUGAAUGAGGAAAAAGAUAAAAUUCAAAGAAGUGUCUUUAAAUAUCACAUUUUAUUAUUCAAAGAUUGUGCGACUUGCAAUGUCAUGAUAUUAAAUAUCAUGAUGAUGUUAGAAUAUGACGGAAAUUAAAUUCCGUGAAAUAAUAGUUGAGGUUAUGUAAAGUAUCUUAGAAAAAAUAUAUAAGAAAUAAAGUUAUUACCUUAACACUGUCAAGUGGAUACAUAACACAAUGUUCCAUAAUUCCGGCAAAUGCACCUGCUGUCAUGUGUACAGCCACAGAUGAUGUAGGUAAAGUCUCAUAAAUUUCAGUAUUCAUAUUUCCUGAAGAUGCUUUAACGUAAUUUUCAAUUCGCAGCUUCAAAAUGCCGCAAUUUUUAUAUACACUCUUUUGAAGUAGACAACACGCAUUCGGCAAUAAUUGAUGCCGAUUUAUCGUUUAUGUAGCAACAUUUGCUUUGUAAUCGCCGAAACAUUCAUUCAAAAGGAUAUGAGGAUAAUGUUCGUUCUUUCGAAAUAAUGAGACGUAAUCGUAUUCGUUGAUCUUAAUGGAACGUAUUGGAGUUGAAAAGCCUGCUACUCACGAUAAUAGUAAAUUUACAAUGUAUAGUCCCCUCCUGGUAUUCACGCCACAUAUAAGUUAUUUUAUUUUCUUACACUAUUUUCUUAAAAUAUGGGGAUACAUGGCGUUUGCAUUUGAUUGUUUAUUUGAAUCGUUACGGAACUCGAUACAUACUGGCAUUCUUCGCGAUACGAUUACGAGUCGUCGUCGUCACACAUUCGUUUGGUGAGGUUAGAUGUACGCGCACGUGUCACGCAUGCGUCGUAUUCAACCACGUGGUUGGUGCGUAUAAUAUCUACGCAGUAGUAGCUUAAUAAAUAUAUAAUAUAAUAUAUAAGACAUGCUUUAUAUCUAUAUACAGCAUACAAUAAUGCAUCCAUUAAUCCUCUCAUAAAUGGACAUGGGUCGUUGAAUUUGAAAUCACAGAAUGGAUCUCUCUAAUACAAUUUUUUAGAAUUUUUCUUAUUUUUUUUAGAUAUACUAAUAAAAACUACAUUAGCUUUUAAUUAUUUUAUUUUAAUGUAUAAUGUAAUUAUGUACUUAAUUACAAUUUUUAAAUUCCUUUAUUAAUUGUAAAAUAUAAAUAAUAAAUCGAUAUAUAUGUUUAUGGUAAAUGUUUAUGGUAUGUUUAUGGUAUUAAUAUUUUUUAAUCAUAUACAUAAAAAAUAUUUUUAUUUGAUUUUUUUUCAUUUUAGUCAUUCUAUAUUAUAUUUAAAAUAAAAAUAUUUAAUAAACUUAAUGUCAUUACAUAUCAAUAUCAAUUAUCAUAUAUCAAUUAUGCAUAUUUUGUCAAAAACAUAUUUAUUUGUUUCAUAUAAAAAUUAAUCAAAUUCAUCAUGAAAAUGAAAAUAAAUAAUUACCAUCAUUGAAAAAUUUAAUGACUUGCAUUUUGUACUUCAUAGUAUUCUAUGGACGGUUUUACUAUAUUCUAGACAAUGCAAUGUUGUAAAAACAUGUACAAGAUCAUGUUACGUAGUAUAUGACAAACUACACAUAUUGUUCUAAUUAUAGAAAAUAUCAAGAUUACGAGCUAUCAUGUGCAGUACUUUACACGCUAAUGCUUUUCUAAAAUGAUUUAAUCGAAUGAGUUAUGUAAUAUAAAUUUUAAAUGCAUGAACUCAUUUAUGUCAUAAUUUUUUGAAUAAUACAUAAAAAUUCGAUUGUAUUGCAAAAUUAAAAUUUAAAAAUAUUAAUUACGGAAAAAUUAAAUAUUUAAAACGAUAUUAUUUUUCAUGAGUUGAAAAAACUAGAAUGAUUCAACAAAUGUAAUCAAAGUUUUUAAUGUACAGGUGUUAAUAUAUUCGUGCGAUAGAUCGAUUUUAAAGGUCAAAAUAAACACAAAAGUUGAUAACAAAAAUGUCAGUUGAAAUAUACUUAUUAAAUUAUAAAUAAUUCAAUUAUUUUGUAUUAAAUAAAACGAUUCAUAAAUAAAGUAAGAUUCUAUCUUCUAUCGCAACCAUUAUAUUCCAUUUCUGUUGCUUCAUUUAAUGCGAAUUUAAAUUUCUUAUAAUUUAAUAAAUAAACUUCAAUCAAAAUUUUUAUAUUUGUUAUAUAUCCAAAAUGUCAAAAAUAUAUUAACAUCCUAUAUAUAUAAUUAUUUAAUUGUAUUAUGAAAUGUAUGCCUUAAUAACCUGUUUUUUUAUUACUUAAGUCUAUGAUUUAAAAAUUUAUAUCAUCUAUAUAUAUACAUAUAUAUCUAAAUACUUACAUGUAGAUACAUAUAAUUAUUAUUUCAAUUUUAUUUACAAUAAAUAAAAUGAAAUCUUUUUUA